CUGGGACCCGGGCCCUGGCUCCGGCCCCGCGAUGGGAGCUGCUCUCCGCGGGCUGAGCCUGUCAGCAUCCUCGACGCACCCUGGUCCCUGAAGUCGGAGAAGAGCCCCUACCCACCCACACCCCCUUGCCCCAUUUUGGGUCGCCUGGGUCCUCAGUCCUAGCGGAUCCUCAGUCCUAGCGGCCACCGGGUCUGAAAGGAGCAAGACGAUGAUCCUGGCGUCGGUGCUGAGGAGCGGUCCCCGGGGCGGGCUUCCGCUCCGGCCCCUCCUGGGGCCCGCACUCGCGCUCCGGGCCCGCUCGACGUCGGCCACCGACACACACCACGUGGAGAUGGCUCGGGAGCGCUCCAAGACUGUCACCUCCUUUUACAACCAGUCGGCCAUCGACGCGGCAGCGGAGAAGCCCUCAGUCCGCCUAACGCCCACCAUGAUGCUCUACGCUGGCCGCUCUCAGGACGGCAGUCACCUUCUGAAAAGUGCUCGGUACCUGCAGCAAGAACUUCCAGUGAGGAUUGCUCACCGCAUCAAGGGCUUCCGCUGCCUUCCUUUCAUCAUUGGCUGCAACCCCACCAUACUGCACGUGGUAAGGUAGAGAGGACCUUAGGUCAGCGGGCCACCCUGCCCCGGGGGCAAGUGGGGAGUCUGGGGCCCAGAGUGGCAGACAAUUGCUUGCCUAAAGGUGUCAGGGCCACACAGGAUUCAACCCCAGGCCUUCAGAAGCCAAAGGUGUGUAUUCACGGAGCCUGGAAGGGUCGAAGUGGGGGUUUGAUCACGUGGCCGACCAGCUGGGUGGUGAUCCCCACGGGUAGGUGGGGGUGGCUGUUCUCUGCUCAGUGCCCAUGCGGCUUUGUGAAUUCCCACACCUCUUCCUUGCAGCAUGAGCUAUAUAUCCGUGCCUUCCAGAAGCUGACAGACUUCCCUCCGGUGAGUGCUGGGCCAGAGCAGGGUGAGGGGCUGAGAGGUUGGGCUUGGACCACCCUUCCUCAUGACUCUGUGACCUGCAGAUCAAGGACCAGGCGGACGAGGCCCAGUACUGCCAGCUGGUGCGACAGCUGCUGGAUGACCACAAGGAUGUGGUGACCCUCUUGGCAGAGGGCCUGCGUGAGAGCCGGAAGCACAUAGAGGUUGGGGCAGCAAAGGAGAGGCCGGGCCUGCUGGGGGUGGGAAGGGCAUGGGAUUCUGAGACCUCACUCUUUACAGGAUGAAAAGCUCGUCCGCUACUUCUUGGACAAGACGCUGACUUCGAGGCUUGGAAUCCGCAUGUUGGCCACGCAUCACCUGGCGCUGCAUGAGGACAAGGUGGGGCUCUGGGACCUGAGACCCACCUGGGAACGUUAAGUGAGACAGAGGAGACUGGGCUGGGGAUCCAGGUCAAGGGCCUGGGGGCUGAGGCUGUGGGGCUGGUGCUUUGGGGCAGUUCCGAAGUUGCCAGCAUCUUGGGGUGGGGCUAGGGGCAUGGGUAGUCCUGACCUCCUUUCUCCGGCCAGCCUGACUUUGUCGGCAUCAUCUGUACUCGUCUCUCACCAAAGAAGAUUAUUGAGAAGUGGGUGGACUUUGCCAGGUGAGGCAAGAAUGGCUCAGGGGGUGGGCAGACAUCUGGGGCAGGGAAGGCUUGGGUCUGAGCCCUUGCCCGGGGCAUGGUCUGCGGGGAGCAGGGUUUCUCAACCAUGGCACUAUUGACAUUUCCAGCCAGAUAAUUCUUUGUCAUAGGGGCUGCCCCGUGCACGUUACGAAGUUCAGCAGCAUCCCUGGCGCCAGCAGUACUGCCUAGUUGUGACAAACAAAAAUGUCUUUGCACAUUGCCAUAUGUUACUUAGGGGGGCAGAAUUGUUUCCAGUUGCAAACCACUGGUGGAGGGGCCCCUGACUGAACCCUCGCUCCUAUCCGCAGACGCCUGUGUGAGCACAAGUAUGGCAAUGCGCCCCGUGUCCGCAUCAAUGGCCAUGUGGCUGCCCGGUUCCCCUUCAUCCCUAUGCCACUGGACUACAUCCUGCCGGAGCUGCUCAAGAAUGCCAUGAGGUGGGGUGGCUUGAUGUGCUGACUUGGGGGCGGACAGGAACCGGGGUGCUUGUACCUACUGGUCUUUCCCCUCUACAUAGAGCCACAAUGGAGAGUCACCUAGACACUCCCUACAAUGUCCCAGAUGUGGUCAUCACCAUCGCCAACAAUGAUGUCGAUCUGAUCAUCAGGAUCUCAGACCGUGGUGGAGGAAUCGCUCACAAAGAUCUGGACCGGGUCAUGGACUACCACUUCACUACUGCUGAGGCCAGCACACAGGACCCCCGGAUCAGCCCCCUCUUUGGCCAUCUGGACAUGCAUAGUGGCGCCCAGUCAGGACCCAUGCACGGCUUUGGCUUCGGGUUGCCCACGUCACGGGCCUACGCGGAGUACCUCGGUGGGUCUCUGCAGCUGCAGUCCCUGCAGGGCAUUGGCACGGACGUCUACCUGCGGCUCCGCCACAUCGAUGGCCGGGAGGAAAGCUUCCGGAUCUGACCCCACAGCCUUUGGCCUGCUCACCCGACCAGCCUGGGCCGCAUUCCCUGCAGGACCUCCCGGGUCAGGCAGGGCGGCCCCCUGCUCCACACACUGCUGCAUCUUGGGUCUCAGGGCCCCAGACAGAUGGACUUACAUGGAGCUGGGCACUGCCCCGCCUCAACAGGGUCCAUUGCCUCCUCGCCUCCAGACCUUGGAGUGGGGAAGUGGGCACCCUGAGGCCUCCAGCACCAGUUCCGUCAUUCUCGUUCCUGGGGAACCCCCACUCUGACCUGUUGUUAUUAAAGUUCACAUUUUGAAUGCC
rnacentral:sRNA from 1 species